AUAUAUAUAUAUAUGUAUUAAUUAAAUAUAUACAAAACUAAAUAGGUUUGGGUAGUAGUAAUUGGGUUUGGAAUGGAUAUGGAUAGGAAGUGGUGAAUUCUAAUUGGUUUUGGGUAGUAGUAAUUAAACGGUUCGGGUACCUUGAAUUUGAAUUUGGCGGAUACCCUAAUUCCUAUCCCGGGUUUGACUGGGCGUGUUCUGGACCCAAACCAGACCAUGGCUAUGCUGAUUUAGUUUUGAUGCGCAUAUGCAUAUACAACAAAGUAUAAAUACAACAAUGGAUUCCCUUUUAUUUCAUUUAGCCAAUUGUCAAGUCUUGAUUGGCGACGUUACCUUUGACAGGCUUGAUGGAAUCAUUAAAUGGAUAACAUUUUAAUCAUAUAUAUACUGGCCCAAUUCUAAGACCACCAUAAAUCCUGCUGUUGCAUCGAACUUUAAAAUAGAUGAGCAUACCUAGGUGAAUAGUAAUUCUCUAUUGGAGUUGUCUAACACUGAACAAGUUAAUGAUAAAAGAUGGGCAUCACUUUAUGAAUAGAAAAGUUAAUCAUAUUCAGUGGCUAAUUUCUGGUCAUUAGCAGGCGAAGAAGUUUCAUCACCAUGCAUGUGAAAAGUUAUCUCAACGAGCAUAACUGACCCUAUCUUCAUUUGGUCCAGGUGCAAAAUUUCAAGGUUCAAGGUCCCGGUUGCGAUGACAAUAGAAAGACUGCAGCUUGUUCUGUGGGUACAGAUUGCAUAUGGGGCAUAACUUUGCAAAUUAAAUGGAAAGAGACUGUAGCUUUUGAUUGCUUGGGUUAUGAAAUCAAUCAGUUGAAUUGCUUAGAGCAAUGGAACUGUCAUUCAUAGUUUCCUGUACAUUUUUCUAUGUAUAUAAUAAUAUUGUUUUAAGUAUCUGCAUUUUGUAGUGCUUCCUUUAACUCUUUAACUAGAAAUGGUAGACAUUA
rnacentral:misc_RNA from 1 species